UGGGCCCACUCACACACGGAUAACGACCCCUCCACCACACGCGUACACGCAUUCUGCCUUCACAAAUUUCGCCAAAUUCACCAUCGUCGAUCUUGAGAACCACCGGAGUAUUGGGAGAUUGGGCUGCGCGUGGGUGCCAUGACCGCCGGAGUAUUGGGAGGCUGGGCUGCGCGUGGGCGCCGUGGCUGCCGGAGUAAUGGGAGGCGGGGCUGCGCGCGGCCGCCGUGGCCGUCGGAGCAGUGGGAGGUGGGGCUGCGCGCGGCCGCCGUGGCCGUCGGAGUAGUGGGAGGUGGGGCUGCGCGCGGCCGCCGUGGCUGCCAGAGUAGUGUGAGGCGGGGCUGCGCACGGCUGCCCUGACCGCCGGACUAGUGGGAGACGGGGCUGCACUGCAUGUCUGCAUCUACUUCAGCAAGGUCAAGGACGUCGGCAGCGGCGACGACGAGCGCACUGGUAAGGGCGCCGCGGCUACGAAGUGGUCGUACUACGCCAGGAGGGUGCCACACGAGGAGGGGUUCCUGCUGGGGCUAGGCGGGAGGGCGUGGUGGACUACCGAUUUGCUCCACGGCCGGCGGGGAAGCUGCUGGUGGACACUGCUCACGCUGUGGUUUUCACUGUUGCAGAUGAUGUGGUUGUUACAGAGGCAGAUGUCCGCUCGGGGCAUUGCAGACAAGCGUUGCCUGCUCAGGAAGCAGCGGGUGGGAUUUUGACAAUGUCCAGGGCAUGGAUGAAGCCAAGGAGGAGCUUGUUGAGUGGGAAAGAUGGCCGGGAGGAGCAAAAAACGCAAUUGGCAUGAACGGCAUGUGACUGCUCUUGACCAUGAUUCAUUCCCUGCCAUUCAAGACCAACAAAUAGAGGGCAAGUUGCUGGACUCACCUAAAAAAAUCUCAAGCUAUCCAAGGAAUACCCAAGUAAGGAACCUUCAUCAGCUACUCUCCAAGUAAUCUUCAUACCCUUCCCCCGGAGAUUAGUUGCUUACUAUCUAGCUAGAGAGAAAUCAAUUUGUGUGUGAUUACUGAUUGCACUAAACUUUCUUACAGUUUCUUUUCAGUAAUUGGCAGGAAAUCAGUUGCCCACUACCAGCGUGCACGCAUAAGUUGGUUACUGGCAGAACUGGAGUUGCUUAAAAACAGCCAACCUAGAUGUUGCUGCUUUAAAAAAAAAAUACCACAGUCGUUGUACAAAGUAAACUAAAUUAAGAAGAGAUGCAUGAGUUGCUUACCCCUUUCCCACCCUUUUUUAUUUGCUUAAAAGUGCCCCAAUAGUUGCCACGCUUUUUUCACAUCUUUUUAGUUCUAGCACGCAUAACCAAACAAGAGUUGUUUGCUCUUAACACCUUUUUUGCUCAAAGCAAAGCCUAGAAGUUGCUGGCCUUUUUGUUUUAUUUUGUUUUUUGACACUUUUUUCUACUCCAAAAGCAACCUAAAAACACAAUAGCCAGUAUUUGCAAAAAAUGAAAUCAAAAAACAGAUGUCGUGCUCAUGUCCUGCCAAGAGUUGCUUGCUGUCAGACAUGAUUUGCUUACAAAAUCCAUUAUAAUUGCUCACUUUUUGGUUUUGCCCUUUUUUUGGUAACAGGUGCCAUACAAAAACGAUACUAGAUUCUCACAGAUCUGGGAAAAAUGAGGGAGAGCACUGGGACGAAGAAGGUGCAAUCAGAUUUGUAUAAACAAGAUUUGCAGGGUCCUUCUAGUUGUGGGGGAGGAAAGGAUACGCAGUUUGCAUGGGGAGAAGAUGGGCGUAGGGUAGGGUGAGGACAGAGAGAGGUUGAUCAAGCACGUGAUUGGGGGGCUGGAGGAAAGCGUGCGAGCUGCGGCUUGAUGCGCCUCUCUAGCGCAGGCUCAAGGGUUGGGGCGUGUGGGGACUGAUUCUUUUCCUUUUCUGUCCCGCCAGCUGUUUAGGGUUUUUCAAUUUCUUUUUUGGGUGUGUGCUCUAGAUUACUAACCAGCCAACAGGUGCUCCCUAGUCACGUCCUUGUUGCUGAUUAUUACGUACUCAAUAUGGACACUUAAUGCUCACAUUAGACAAGAUGGAGAAAAUCAGCCAUUAAUUAACUUUCCAUAUUUUAAAGA